rnacentral:rRNA from 1 species
UACGGGGGGGGCAAGCGUUGUUCGGAAUUACUGGGCGUAAAGGGCGCGUAGGCGGCCUUCUAAGUCGGACGUGAAAUCCCUCGGCUUAACCGAGGAACUGCGUCCGAUACUGAAAGGCUUGAAUCCGGGAGAGGGAUGUGGAAUUCCAGGUGUAGCGGUGAAAUGCGUAGAUAUCUGGAGGAACACCGGUGGCGAAGGCGGCGUCCUGGACCAAUACUGACACUGAAACGCGAAAGCCAGGGGAGCAAACGGG